UUAAAAAAUGGUAUCUUAACAUCUUAAACAUCUGAUAUAUACUAGAUGGUCAUAGCCUUUACACGGCCUACAUAAUUCAAUAUAUGGUCAAAUUUGAUCAAUUUUUGGGCCGCAAUGGGCUGUAUUUUAUUACAUAAGCGACAAAUAUUUCGGCCACAAAAAUCAAAACGCUCCUCAGACAAAUUGCGGACAUAGUGGUUGAGGGAAAACUCUUAUGUUCCACAAAUAAAUUUAAAGCCACAAGUGCAGCUUGAUUUAUGCUGGCCCCUUCUUCGACUUCUGCGUCCGACACUGUGUCACUUUUCGGCUACGGCGCCAUCCAUCUCUAUUACUCUAAUUAAUUACGCACCCUAGGAUGUCAUUAAUUUCGGCCAGGACAUGCACAAAGAAUGUCCGUUAAUAUAUUGAAUUAAGAACCAUUUGUGGCUGUCGGCAGGCGAAGCCCUGCUCAGUGCAGCAUGCAAAUAUGCGGGCUUAACCGAGAAGAAAGGGGUGGGCCAGGCGCGGACUCAGCCCGUUAAGCCCUAUUUGUUUUUAAAUUUAAUGCUGGGAACUUGCCUCGGUGGCCAUGCGUGGCUAGAGAGGCAAAGUAAUAUCUAAGGAGGCGUUGCCCGAAGAGUGUUACCCUAAGUACUCGUUAGUAUGAGUGUGGUGACUACUGAGGAAAUAAAAUGCUUCAUCCCCAAGGGAUUUCUUUAAAAGGUGUCGAUAAAGUUAAAACUAAAUACGGGACUUCAAAAAAGGAAUGUGAGUGUAAAAAGAUUGUAAAAAAGAGCUUCGAAAAAUUCAUAAAUAAUCCUAUUUACAUACUCUGGUUAUAAACUCAUAUUAUUGAUUAAUACUAAGCCCAAGAAAUACUUUUAAUUUCGAAUAAAAAUUUUUUUAUACAAGUUAUUCUGCAAUUUUCAUAAUAUUGAUAUUAGGAUUAAAUUGAUUAAUUU